AUUACACGCAAUAACUAUUGUAGCAAACAAUGCAUUUAACCGCCGAGUCUAUGGUUGUUUUGCCUUCGCCUAUAUUAUAGUAGUCUAUCGUCAAAAAGCCUGGUCAAAAAAGGAAAAGUAUAAUAAGAACAAAAUAAAUCCACGGGGAUAUAAGCUACCUUUGCAAAAUGAGCUCAGCUACCAAACCGGAUUUUGAUGGAACCUUAAAACUAAUUGCUAGGGCUAUACACAAAAAGGUGGAGGUUGAUAAUCUCGGAUCAGCCCUGGGAUUCGGCCCUGCAGAUAUCGGUCGAUAUACUGAUGAGAAUGAAAAGCAGGGCGGGAACUAUAUGGGUACAUUGGACAUGCUCAGGACGUGGCGAAAAAGGCAGACGGUUUCCACUGAAAGACGGAAUCUGAGAUCCGCACUAUCGACAGCUGAUUUAGCAUCCCUGGCGGAUCAGUAUCUAAGCACACCCGAAAAUGCUCUGUCGGAAUGAAGGUUUCGAAUACUGACAUCAUAAAACUGUCGAAACUCAUGCCCUGUGAUAAAUUCAGCGAGUUCUGCGUUGCUCUAGAAUUCAGCCUUACUGACGCUCAAAACACCUUAACCAGACAUCAAUUAAAUGCUCGUGCUGCUUUCGAGGAGAUGCUGAUGGCAUGGAGUGUAAGGACAGGUGGACGAAGAAUGGAUCUUGAUAAAGCUCUGCAGGAUGUAGAAUGUUUUGCCCUCAUAGACCAAUACAAGAACUAGAUCUACGACUACGUGAUGCGUUUUUGUGAACUUGAAGGAAAAUGAAACCUUUGGAAAAGAUAGCUUGGGCGAAAACAGAAAACCAAAGAAACCGAUCAACGAAAGUUUGAGAAAAAAUGAAUAAAUAAUAAAAAAAAAGGAAUGAGCAUUUAAAGUUAGGAUCGGUAUUGUAAUGUAGAUUCUCCCACUGGCAAUGCGACAAUUAUGCGUGAUGUUACAUGUGAACAACUUUCCCAUUUCUUUUUUAUUUAUUUCACUUAAAAUGCCUAUCACAUCUACAUUUAUCAGCAGAUCAUGCAUUCCUUCUAUACAGGAAGGCAUAUGCCGAUUUUCUAAGAAUACAUUAUGGAUAAAGAGUUUGUAUCAACAUUAAAAAUAGCAUAACGAGACAUUUAGGGGGUAUUCUUAUAGUCCAUUAAAGGGAAAGUUUUUCACCUGUACAUCACACAUAUUUGUCGCAUUGCCAAUAACCUUCUCAUUAAUUGUCCAAUUUUUCUCAAAAUUUCUUUGAUCUUAUUCUUUGAUUUGUCUGUUUUCAUUCAAGCUAACUUGUUACAAUGGUUUCAUUCCCCUUGAUGCUUUUCUGGAAGACCAAGAUAUGAUACCUACUGAAAACCGGAUACACCUACUUCUGCGAAUACUUGUAUAUUAAACAGACAUACGGUUAGUAUUGUGAUUGUGGGUGAUGUGAGUAGUUUUAGAAUGUCAAAAAGUAUGAUUUUAGGUGACACAGUGAAAUCGGUAGUGUCACAUUUUUUGCAAAGUACGCUACACUUAUAUUUCAAUUGCUUUAUAUCUAGCAAAAAACAAACAAACAAACAAAAAACAUACGACUCCGGUAGCUUAUAUCUGGUAGGAUAAGAUUUCAUUAACCUUUCACUAGUAAAUUUUAACUAGUAUGUUAGAUAGUAUUCAACACGUUGAUGACACCCCCCCCCCCCUACAUAACUUAUUUUUCACACUUACUUUUCAAAUAAGUUAGUAUAUGAAACCAUACAACACAUCAACCAUACCUUCAAUGCGUUGUACAAUAUCAGUGGUAGAAUUAAGAUAUGAUUAAAACAUUAGGAGUUGUACUUUCAUAUUUUAGUACAUGUAGAUGUAUGUAAUAUCUAGUUAUUAUUUUAUAAUAACCCUCUAAAUUCACAUUUAUUUUAUUUUGAUACGCACUGUACAUCAAUGUAUUCUGCACAUACAGAUUUGUCGAGUCCCCAUAAUGCAUGUGCAUAAAUAGGCCUAGUAUUUGAAUUGCACCUAUAUAUGUUUUAGACCGAAGUACUCUUCGUCAUAUUGGAUUUUGUUUGUCUUGUGGCUCUAUCUUUUGGAUUUUGGUCAAUUAGAUAUUUUCCAGCAUGCUUCAAGGGUAGCCAAUAAAAAAAUGCAAUCACUCUUUAGAAUAAAUUCCCGUUCAUCGAAAUCUUAUACAAUUGGUACGUGAUCGUUUAAUUGUUGUAAUGAUCAUCGUUCUUCCAAAGCUGUAAUCUAAAAUGAACUUGCUCAAAUAUGUUUUCAUCGCGUUGAUAAUGAGCAUAUGAUUCAGUUCUACUGUAGACAGAUGAACAAAAGACGAUUUGUAAGCAAUAAUAUGAAACACAUACCAUUUAGAUUCUUGGUCUAUCUACUAAUGGAUUAUGAAUGUGAUAGAACGUAAAUAUAACGUUCCAUUGGAGGAAGGAUUCGAGCAUUUGUUUGGCGUACCUGGUUCAAGGUCCAACUAUAAUGAUAGUUGCAUACAUUACCAUAAUUCUGGUAUUAUGAGCCAAGGAAUAGAUAACCUUAACGCAAUGUAAACCGUUCCAAAAAUUAUCACUAACCUUGUUUAUUUGACUUUUUUGUCUUUAGUAAUUAAUUUCCAUUCCAUACUUAAUUAGGUCAUUUCUAUACCAAACGAAAGUUUAGAAAUCUGAAUAAAGCAUAAUAAAUCAAGUAAGCAUUACCAUUUAGCAUGUUAUCAAUAUCGGAUGCUCAUUCUGACCUAAGUCUAUUUUGCUAAAAGGGAAGGGUUGAUGUUAAACAUUGAAUAUUUAUUUAUCAUUUCAUUGUUGGGGUUAUAUAUUAUUGAAAAUAUGGUAACUCAUAUUUUGUCCAUGUUUACAGCAUGCAUCUUUCAAUUUCGAUUAACUUAAAUAUUACUUUUACUGUCUACAGGUGUUCCAUUUUCCAUUUAUGUAUGCCAUGCUUAUUUACUUUUUUUCUUGUACAUUUCAGCUGUUGGUAUAUUGAAUGUAAAUAUUUUGAUGGGUUUUUUACUGGAAAAGAAUAAACAUAUUAAAUUGAAUUUUAAAAAAAUGUUCAUGAGGUCUUAAACAGGUUUUGUAUUUAAUGAUUUCUCAAAUGAAAGUGUAUAUUAGUUGAAAAUAAAGUAAUACAAAAUAAUUAUAUAACAAUACAGUGCUCACUUACAUGGAUAAUAUAUUACCGUUUUGUGAAAUAUGCAACAAUUAUAUAAUUCACGUUUUAUGUUUCUGUCAGCUUUACAUUUUUGUUAUGGAAAAUUUUACGAGAAAAUUUCAUACUAAUUGAUAAUGAAUAACCAGUUGUUAGUUUGUAAUUUUCUGGAACAUAUUUUUGCGAGUUUUUUUCCUGGUUUAACUGGUGUAAUCUAAUAGGCCUUUAAUCAUUGGACCAUGGAACAAGUCCAUGAAAUAUACAUUUGUAUUUCAUGUGCAAUAUAUAGAUAUAAGGUUCAUUUCGCGGUUUAUUUGUUUAUAUUUGCGAGUCUGCUCCAGAUAAUUAGUGUUCGUCUCAAAAUACGUGAAUCACUCUACAAUCAUGUAUUUGAAUUCAAGAAACGGUCAAACACCCAAACGCAAUAAACAUUUUUUUUUUCAUUCUUGAAGUGACCUAGGCUCGUUUUAUAAAAAGUUUACAUUCUAUUUUUUUCGCUUAUAAAUAUAACACUAUAUCACAACGUUCAAAACGAAUCUGAAACAAGGUUUGCAUCUGUUUUAAUAGGUAAUCUUUAAUACUGUUCAAAUAUUACAGUAAAAUGAGUACAAUUUUUGCUAGUCGGCAGACAAUCUUAUCUGUAGAUGUUAUCGCAAAAUAUGCCUAUUACUCAUAAAGUUUAUGUCAAUUAUUUAUGCAUACUUUACCUUUAGACCCUAUACGACUAUCAACAAAAAGUAUGUAUAUCUGCCUGUAUCGAAAUAAAAAUGUCUUGAUAGCUGCACAGUA